AGUGAACGCUGGCGGUAGGCCUAACACAUGCAAGUCGAACGGCAGCACAGUAAGAGCUUGCUCUUACGGGUGGCGAGUGGCGGACGGGUGAGGAAUACAUCGGAAUCUACUUUUUCGUGGGGGAUAACGUAGGGAAACUUACGCUAAUACCGCAUACGACCUACGGGUGAAAGCAGGGGAUCUUCGGACCUUGCGCGAUUGAAUGAGCCGCUGUCGGAUUAGCUAGUUGGCGGGGUAAAGGCCCACCAAGGCGACGAUCCGUAGCUGGUCUGAGAGGAUGAUCAGCCACACUGGAACUGAGACACGGUCCAGACUCCUACGGGAGGCAGCAGUGGGGAAUAUUGGACAAUGGGCGUAAGCCUGAUCCAGCCAUACCGCGUGGGUGAAGAAGGCCUUCGGGUUGUAAAGCCCUUUUGUUGGGAAAGAAAAGCAGCAGGUUAAUACCCCGCUGUUCUGACGGUACCCAAAGAAUAAGCACCGGCUAACUUCGUG
rnacentral:rRNA from 1 species